rnacentral:rRNA from 1 species
AAUGAACGCUGGCGGCGUGGAUUAGGCAUGCAAGUCGAACGGGCCCGCAAGGGCUAGUGGCGACCUGGUCAGUACAAAUUGGGUGACCUGCCUGGAAGUGGGGGAUAACUCCGAGAAAUCGGUGCUAAUACCGCAUGUGGACGAAAGUCUAAAGCAGCAAUGCGCUUCCAGAUGGGCCCGAUCCUCAUUAGCUUGUUGGUAGGGUAAUGGCCUACCAAGGCGACGAUGAGUAGGCGACGUGAGAGCGUGACCGCCGACACGAGGACUGAGAUACGGCCUCGACUCCUACGGGUGGCAG